rnacentral:lncRNA from 1 species
UCUAUUGUGACUAUUGUGCAACUGGGUGUUAUAAUGAUUUGUCAGGUAAGCAUUUGCAAUCCUGCCAGUGAAUCUCCAUAUAGGAAAGAACUAGAUAUAAGCUGUGUUGCUUUAGGCUGCUAAAGAGAGAAAACUAUAGAACUCUUAUUUUCAUGGAGCUGCCUAGGAAUAGUGCUAUUAUAGAAAAUGUCCAAGUAUCCCAAUUUUUGGAUACCUCUGUACUAAUAGUAUGACAAUUAUCAACUGUUGAACUGACACUAUAUGUCAGAGGCUCUUCAGAGAGCUUUAUGUUCACACAUUUAAUCCUUCCAUGAUAAAGUAGUUGCUAUUUUAAAAUUCAUUUCACAAAUAAGGAAAUGGAGAUACAAAGAGGUUAAGUGAUUUGCCUACAGUCACAUAACUAUAGAAUAGCAAAGCUAGGAGGUAAACAUAGGGACUGUAACUCUACAGCCAUGAUUAUGUGUACGUACGUAAUCCACCUGAAAAUCCUAUUCAGAUAAUUCAAACAUAAUAUUUGUAUAUAAAUUCAAACUGUUGCAUUACAAUCAAACCGAAUAAGCCUAUUUUAUACUUCAGGCUCAUAUAGCCUUCAACAAAUCUAGGGGAGAAUCUGUUGACCAGAAGAAAGAGGGUUUGUUUCAAGGAACAGAUGUGCAAAGAGGGUACAAAAGGAAAUUCCCAAGAAGGAAAAUUUCCUGGGCUAGUCCACUAAUAUGCAAAGUCCUAGAAAAUUUCUUUUAUAAUUCAAAUGACUCUCAAACUUUAUUUAAAGCAAUACCUAUAAUUUUUUCUCCAUUAAAAUCUUACAAGAGAGUAAGACAAAUAAGACAGAUCAAUGUGUUGCUGCAAAGCUGGGAAAUGCAAUGAGGGCUCAGAGUCUUCAUUGCUUAAUCUGCUCCUCUGCAUCCUCACCUAGUCCCAUGAAGCAUUUGGCAAAUUCAUUGUAUGCCUUUUUUGAUUUUUUAAAACUUAAAAACUUUAAGCAUGAUUAAA